ensembl:lncRNA
AUUAAUUCACUUCUGCUGGAUCUGUCCUGAGGGCCUCCCGUGCACAAUAACGUGAGGAGUGUUGGCAGCUUUGGAGGGAGAAAGACUGACUCGUCUCCGAGGGAGGAAGGUGGGACUCCUCACAAGGUUGCCCUCCUCCCAGCUCCCUCUUUCCUGAGAAACAACUUAUGCUUUCGGCCUGAACUCAGGCUGCUGAGGACGCAGUGUUCCAGGGAUGGUGGCAGAUCUUGGAGAAGGAUAUAAAGAGCAACAUGGCAAAGUGGUUAAGGACUUGGAUUCAGGAUUCAGCUGCUUGUGCUUUUAUCCUGCCUUUGCCACCUACUAGCUGUGGAAGCUUGUCAGUUAAGAUGUAUUGUCAACUAGAUUGGCUCUGGAGCUGCCCAAGAGAUUAGUAAAGCAAGCUUCUGGGUGAGUAGGGUUGGGACAUGGAGUCAUGGAGGUGUGACAGUGGGAUCUAUAUCUGGUUCCUUGCCCCUUCCUCUUUGGUGUUGCUCUUCUGCUCUGCUUCCCAGCUGCCAUGAAACAAGAAGCUUUGUUACAUGAUGCCCUUCCAACAUGUUGUUCCAGCCUUGGAGCUGGCCAAAACUGUACUUAAUCCCCUGAAUCAUGAGCCAAAUUAAACCUCUCCUUCUUUAAGUCAUGGGUGUCAGAUAUGCUCCAGCAACAGGAAAGGUGACUAAUAUGGGAGCUUACAAAAGACACUCUGUGCCUCAGUUCCCUUAACUGCAGAAUACAAUUAAAUAGUAGCACCUCCUUGUGGGGAUGAUGGUGAAUAUUAAGUGGGUGAGUUAGUUCAUGCAAAGCAAUUAAACUGGUGCCUGCCAUAUAGUAAUGGUUGUGUAUUUGUAUGCUAUUUCUUAUCCCAGUUGCCUGACCUUGAACUCAGGGAAAGAAUUUAUCUUUACUUUUUCAUAGUGCCAGGUGAAGUGCCAUUCUGUAAUAUAUAUUUAUUUACUAUACAAAUAGCCAGGCCCUGCCCUAGAGAUGCAAUGGCUACCCUUGUGGAAUGCAUGGCCUUACUGGAGAGAUUGGCAGGCACUGCAGUGCUUCUCACGGGGGAAGUGUGAGAUGUUAUGGAGCAUGUUUUAGGGGUGCUUGUCUCGAAGCUAGGUUUCCUGGGGGCAAGUGAUAUUUUAGCAAGUCAAGAGCACAGAGAAUUCUGAAUGGAGGGAGAGUCCAUGAAAAGGCAUCCUAUGAGUAAUUGUUCAAUGAAUGAGAGAAUAAAAAGAAACUUUGAUUAGCUUUUGAGACCCUGAUAGUAUUGCUAGGUAUUUUGACUGUAGGUGAACAAACAGCUCAUUGUGAAGAGAACAUAGAUCAAGCUUCCUCCCUCCCCUGCUCAGAAACUGACAUUUUGAAACCACCAUCUUUGAAGUGUGUUUUGUUUCCAUCUAGAUACUAUUGCCACCCUGUCCAUGUCCAGUGCGCUUCACCCUUGCCAUUUUCUGUUUCUCAGCACAUAAGGCAUAAACUAUUUCCCGAACUGGAAAACAGUGGGGUUAAACAAAACAACUGGUUGGCUACUCAUUUAAAAGCUAUAGAGAAGAAGUAAAACUUUUAAACUCUUACUGGGGGUCCUAAUUGGGGAAUUUUGGUAUUGGGCAGAUGUGAGCUAUCACCUUCCUUCCUUUGAGAAGAAGGAAAGUAGCCCUUGUCAGUUUAUAGUAUCUUCUUUGAAGAUAAAAUCUUGAUUGAGUUGGGAGCUUGGCUGCUUUUCCUGCCCUUCAAUAGCAGGGUCCCCUUGACUCUCAGUAACUUUUUCAGCAUUUUCAUCAACAAGAUCAACAGCUUUCCAUUAAUGCUUUUGGGGCUGGAGGAAGCAAAAUAGAUUAGGGAAAGUGAGUGGUGAUAGAUACUUCAGAAUCGUCCAAAGGUAAAUGGUUAUUUCAUAUGCUGAAUCCAGGAGAGAGAGUCACUCUAAGUAUGUAUAGAUUCCCAUCACAGGUGAAUUGAGUGACUGCAUUGCUUUCUGGAAAUAGGGCUGAAUUGACACUAAGCAUUUUGAGAAUUAGACAAUCUUUGCCUUCCUAUCCAUUAAAAAGAAAAUGUCCUUAGAAGAAAUCCUUCCCCAGAGAACUUUCUGGAACAACUAAACAUCUACAGCGACUUCCUCCUCCCCAUAAAACCCCCACAUUUUUGUUUUUAUGGGGAUUUUAUCAUUCUGAAAAUGGGGAGAUAAAAUUAGAUUAUAUAAUGAUUUCCCACGAGAAGACAAGAAAUGAUAUAAGUGGCAGGUUUUACAUGCUAGCCUCUUUAUCACUCCUGCUCAUGGGCUUUUUUUUUCCAUGUUUGAAAAAUGUCCUCAGAGUUGCUGAGGAAACAUGUGGAGCAGGAACAGCUACAGCAAUGAGGCAGAGCAACCAUAUCAAGAGACUUGGGCCUGUGGAAAUCCCACUGGAAGGAAGGAAAUGGAGAGUGGAAUAACGUAGUUUGCUGUAGUUUGGGUCUUGAUUGUCCCCCCAAACCCCCUGUGCUAGAAGUUUUGUCCUUAGCCUGUGGCAGUAUUGGGAGGUGGUAGAAUGUUUAUGAGGUAGAAUCUUUUUUUUUUUUUUUUGCUUAAAUUCUUUUAUUGGUACAUUUUAGGUAUACAGUAUGUUUACAUUUAUCAUUGGGUGCUUAUACCUGUACAUGAUGUAUCUUGGUUCUUAUUUUUUCCCCAUUACCUGUGCACCCUUCAUCCCUCCACCCUUCCUUAUUUACAU